rnacentral:rRNA from 1 species
ACAAGCCCUGGAAACGGGGUCUAAUACCGGAUACGAGCCUCCACUGCAUGGUGGAGGUUGGAAAGCUCCGGCGGUGCAGGAUGAGCCCGCGGCCUAUCAGCUUGUUGGUGAGGUAACGGCUCACCAAGGCGACGACGGGUAGCCGGCCUGAGAGGGCGACCGGCCACACUGGGACUGAGACACGGCCCAGACUCCUACGGGAGGCAGCAGUGGGGAAUAUUGCACAAUGGGCGAAAGCCUGAUGCAGCGACGCCGCGUGAGGGAUGACGGCCUUCGGGUUGUAAACCUCUUUCAGCAGGGAAGAAGCGAGAGUGACGGUACCUGCAGAAGAAGCGCCGGCUAACUACGUGCCAGCAGCCGCGGUAAUACGUAGGGCGCAAGCGUUGUCCGGAAUUAUUGGGCGUAAAGAGCUCGUAGGCGGCUUGUCACGUCGGUUGUGAAAGCCCGGGGCUUAACCCCGGGUCUGCAGUCGAUACGGGCAGGCUAGAGUUCGGUAGGGGAGAUCGGAAUUCCUGGUGUAGCGGUGAAAUGCGCAGAUAUCAGGAGGAACACCGGUGGCGAAGGCGGAUCUCUGGGCCGAUACUGACGCUGAGGAGCGAAAGCGUGGGGAGCGAACAGGAUUAGAUACCCUGGUAGUCCACGCCGUAAACGGUGGGCACUAGGUGUGGGCAACAUUCCACGUUGUCCGUGCCGC